rnacentral:misc_RNA from 1 species
CCCAUCGUUUCCUCCUCUGCUCAAGCACGGCAGCCAGUCCAGCCACCAUUUGGGUGCUCAUCUCCCUCUGCUCGGCACCCAGCCCCAGCUCUCCCGAGCUCCCUGCGCCGACCUCAUCCUCCCCAUGGUGCGUCACCUUCUACUCCUCUCCUUCCCACGGCACAGCAGCGCCCCUGCAGCUCCCCUUCUCCAGAUCCAUGGCGCCCAACACCUUGAGCGCCCCUGCCGCUGCUCCUCCACCGGGAUCUCCUCCUCCACUAGGCGUCCAGGCUUGUCCCACCAUGGCUGCCCCUCCUCCAUCUCCUCCCUCCCCACCAGGUUACCCAGAUUCCAUGGCCGCCGCCGUCCCAGCCAUCUCCCUGGUGGCCGACCUCGCCCCUGCCCCAGCCACAGCUCCCCCUUCGGCCCUGCUGCUGCAAGCACUCAGCCUCUCCCAUGGCACACGG